rnacentral:lncRNA from 1 species
GGGACACGUAGGGUCAUGAUACAUCUGGACUUUAGAUCCUGGGUUGACGGGAAAUGAGUAAAAGCUAUGAAGAGAACCUUAUGGCCUCAAUGAAAACCUCAUAGGGUAUAUAUUUUGAGGUCGGUACGUGAAAUCCUGAGCGUGGUCAGAUUUGGGGACCCCCCUCCAUAAAGAGCUUUUUUUCCCCAUACCUGCUAGGGUUCGUUAGAACUGAUUUGAGCAGAACCAAAGAGAUAAUCCAGUCCCCAAGCAGAAAGCAGUUCUCUGAUUUUUCUCUGCCUUUCUGAGUAAUCAAAACACAGUGUCCUUAAGUCAUAAACAGGUUUCUAUUUGUUGCUACGAGCCUUUGAAGAUGUCAUCAGGAGACUGACCUAGGGACAUCCUAACCGAUGAGAGUUGGUAUUGAGCCAGACACUCAACAUGAGCCGAACUGAGGGCCCCCAUCUCCGCAGGAUUCAGCAACACCAUGAAUGAGGUUCCUCAAGCAACAGCACCUGCAAUUCCACUGGUGUGUCAUGACUGCCUGGGUGAUGUCCUCAAGACCUCCAGCCUCGCCGAGCGGCCCUCGAAACCUCACAUACAGACCUAGGAACAAGUCCUCCUAGGCUCCUCGUCCAGGCACCUUGUUCUUGAAACUUGUCUGGUUCAACAUUUCGCCGGCUUGGUUAAGUAUCUUGUAAGGAAAUCAUUUAUAAUAAAGCUGGUAUGCUUGGGUUUAUCAUUUCUAAGCAUGGGUCAGGGUUUGGUUCGCUAUGUUAAACUCUCCAUGCUGCAUGUGAUUUGUCAAGCUUUGUCAGGAACAAAAAGUUCCGGGAUGUGCAAAGCAGGACUGCUUGGUUUCCAUGGAGAUACUGCUAGUUAGGCUAUGGAAAUCCUGAAAAGGCCAGAGGAUAAGUGACAAUACAAGGAUUUAGCGGCUGAUCUGAAGAGCCAGACUGAAUUAAUGAGAUUUUGCACCGAGCGUUAUUAGCAAGGCUAUAGCACCGUAUGGCUCUUAGGCCCUCAUCUUCUCAGCGGCAGGCUUGGAAAACAGAAAUGGAAAGAUUUAAUUGCUGUUUUUUAAACCCUUUAAGAUUAUUUUAACCUAUAACAUUUUAAGGUUGUAAUAAAAAAAACGGGAUUCUUCUCCCCCCCCCCCCC